UGAGGAGAACUGCACCAGACACUGGCAGGACAGGUGCCAUCACCCGCCUCACCAUCUUCCCGAGGCUCCCAGGAGCUGGGCUUCCACCCUCGCCGUGCGGCUUCACACAGAAGGCUCCACCUCCCUGGCCUCAAUGUCUUCUACAAAACCUGAGGUCCAGGUGCCACCGGCUGGAGCAAGAUGACGCAGAGAACACCCAGGCUCACGGAAAAAAAAAAAAAAUGAAGCUGGACAGUCAGCAGGCUUAGAGGUCAAGAGGGAGUGGCAGGGAUCUGCCUUCAGAUCGCCAUGGCAACAGCAACAACAAUAACGCUGGUAUCUCCAGAGCACGCAAUGAAUGCAGGGCAUCAAGGAAACAGAAGAGCACCAGGGGGCUAAGAGCACCGGCCUUGAACCCCAGCAUCCAGGAAUGACCUUUGGAGCCACGCCCUUCUCAGAACUUCAACUUCGCAUUCCCCGGGGGUAGCUCUGUGAGGCGGUGCUUUCACGAACCCAUCUGACAGCGGGGCAAAGUGAGGCACGCGGAAGUCACCCAAGAUGGCACAGCUGACCUCCGCAGGGACCCAAGCACUUGAGCUGCCCUCUCAGGUCUGCCUCAGCAGCAAGCCUGAUUGGAAGCAGGAGAGCAUGAACUUGAACCUGCAUUCUGAUACGCAGUGUGGACGCCCCCGAGAGGCAGCUUCGAUCCCUGCAGCAUACUCACAGCCCCAGUGGUGGCUCAGCACCGUCCCGUGAGCUUAGGUGGAGGUGGGAAGGUUGGGGACGAGACACGGAGGCCAACGGUUAUCCUCAUUGGUCUCUGGCUUUGAAUUUCCUGAAUGUGUUGGGUUUGGGUUUUUUUUUAGGACUUACUUAUCCAGAGGGAGAGGGAGAAAGAGAGAAAGAGGAGAGGAAACGUCCAUCCUCUGGUGCCUUCCCCAAAUGCCCACAACAGCCAGGUCUGAGCUAAGCCAAAGCCAGGAGCCAAGAGCUCCAUCCAGGUCUCUAAGUACCUAGGCCAUCCUCUGCUGCCUUCCCAGGUGCACUGGCAGGAAGCUGGAUUGGAAGUAGAGCAGCCAGGACUUAGACCCACACUCCAGUAUGGGAUGCCGGCCGGCAUCACGAGUGGUGGCUUACGCUGCUCUCAUGGAUUUCCUGGCUUUGGAUCCAGCUGGGAUGGAGCCACACAGCUCGCACCACUGACCCUCAGCAGCCUCAUCUGGAAAACAUGUACCUCAGAGCACUGAAUGAGGUGGCCAACCCUGCACGCGGGGCCAGCCCCAGCCUCCCAGAAGGCUCACUGAAGCCUAUAGCACACCUUGGCAGCCGGGGCUUUCCUGGGCUGGGCUGGCCACACCGGGACACUUCCUUGCCAGCGGCUCCUGUGGACACUUGAGAUUAGCAGCCCAUUGUUGUGGUGUCACCCGAGCCGGCUGGCUUCCACAGGUGUGCCCAGGAGACCAUGAGGACCAGCCGGGCGUGCCGUCCUAGUGGAAGCAGGGGGGACGUCCCCCCACCCCGAGGUCUCUGCGAGGGCAGGUCAGGGGGAGGUCCACGCUGACCCCUUCCUGGCCGGCUGGCAAAAACGGGACAAUUGUGGGUGUCUGCGGCACCAGUUCCUGUCUAUCUGCUCUGUUUUCCAGUUCAAAGGAGGAAGUGUAGCUGUCUCAUUGUCACCCGCUUCCCCCACUCAUUCACUCUCUCGUUUGGCAAAUAUUUACCGAACACCUGCCAUGUGGCAAUGUGUGUGCCCAGCACAAAGGAUGCACACAGAGCAGUGAGGUCUAGGCCUCCUGCCUCUGCAGAAGAAUGAAUCUGCCCAGAACUGGGUGAGCAAGGCACAGGGGGCAGCUCCAGACAGGGCAGUCAGGGAAGGCUUCUCUGCGGAGGUGAGCUUCGAGCCAACACUGGAAUGACAAGAGGGU